rnacentral:rRNA from 1 species
CUCCACAUCCAGGAAGGCAGCAGGCACGCAAAUUACCCACUCCCGGCACGGGGAGGUAGUGACAAAAAAUAACGAUACGGGACUCUUAUGAGGCCCCGUAAUCGGAAUGAGUACACUUUAAAUCCUUUAACAAGGAUCCAUUGAAGGGCAAGUCUGGUGCCAGCAGCCGCGGUAAUUCCAGCUUCAAUAGCGUAUAUUAAAGUUGUUGCGGUUAAAAAGCUCGUAGUUGGUUCUGCGUGCUACGCUGUCGGUUCGCCGCCUGUCGGUGUAACUGGCAUGCCGUGGCAUGUCCUGUCGGUGGCGUGCGGGAGCCUUGCCCAGGUGACGGCCCGUGCCAAAAGCUCGGUGUCCGUAGGCCGGAGGUCACACCCGUGCGCCUACUCUAUCCUACCUAGGUGCUCUUUACCGAGUGUCGAGGUAGGCCGACACGUUUACUUUGAACAAAUUAGAGUGCUCAAAGCAGGCUGAAAUCUCUGCCUGAAUAGUGGUGCAUGGAAUAAUAAAACAGGACCUUGGUUCUAUUUUGUUGGUUCUUAGGAACACAAGGUAAUGAUCAAUACGGACAGGCGGGGGCAUUCGUAUUGCGACGUUAGACUUGGCAAAUGCUUUCGCGGUGAAAUUCUUGGAUCGUCGCAAGACGCACAAGAGCGAAAGCAUUUGCCAAGUAUGUCUUGAUUGAUCAAGAACGAAAGUUAGAGGUUCGAAGGCGAUCAGAUACCGCCCUAGUUCUAACCAUAAACGAUGCCAGCCAGCGAUCCGCCGAUGUUCCUCCGAUGACUCGGCGGGGAGCCUCUUCCCGGGAAACCAAAGGCUUUUGGGUUCCGGGGGAAGUAUGGUUGCAAAGCUGAAACUUAAAGGAAUUGACGGAAGGGCACCACCAGGAGUGGAGCCUGCGGCUUAAUUUGACUCAACACGGGAAACCUCACCAGGCCAGGACAUUGGAAGGAUUGACAGAUUGAUAGCUCUUUCUUGAUUCAGUGGGUAGUGGUGCAUGGCCGUUCUUAGUUGGUGGAUCGAUUUGUCUGGUUAAUUCCGAUAACGAACGAGACUCUAGCCUAUUAACUAGGCGUUUUCCGGUGUCCCCGCCACCGGCGACAAUCAUUCUUCUUAAGGGGACAGGCGGCUUAUAGCCGCACGAGAUUGAGCAAUAACAGGUCUGUGAUGCCCUUAGAUGUCCUGGGCCGCACGCGCGCUACACUGAAGGAAUCAGCGUGUGCCUCCCUGGCCGAAAGGCCCGGGUAAUCCGCUGAACCUCCUGCGUGCUAGGAAUUGGGGCUUGCAAUUGUUCCCCAUGAACGAGGAAUUCCCAGUAAGCGCGAGUCAUAAGCUCGCGUUGAUUACGUCCCUGCCCUUUGUACACACCGCCCGUCGCUACUACCGAUUGAAUGAUUUAGUGAGGUCUUCGGACUGGCGGUAAUCCCUACUGAUUCGUUGGUAUUGAUGAACGCUGGAAAGAUGACCAAACUUGAUCAUUUAGAGGAAGUAAAAGUCGAACAAGG